AAACUAUUGUUCCUGUUUCACACAGAAGAAAACUGAGGUUGGCAAUCAUGAUGAGCCCCUGUUCUCAUUCUGCAAAUGGUGAAGCUCUCUAUUGUCCUGACCCCACAGUUCCUGUCCCAUGAGCAGGGCCAGCUCACCAAGGAGCUGCAGCAGCACGUAAAGUCAGUGACAUGCCCAUGCGAGUACCUGAGGAAGAUGAUCCUACACCUGCCACCUCCGAUGGAUCCACUGCGUCUGUGCCUGCCUGUACUGCUGAUGCUCCAGUGGAUAACUCAGCAUCCCAGCCUAGGCCCAAUGCCACUGAAGAUGGACCUGCCCCCUGGAGACCCAGGAGUCCUACCACUCAGCUGUCCCCAGGAGUGCCCAGACCCUCAUUGUUAUCCAGGACCUAGGAGCCCUACCCCUGGCCUUCCCUCAUCAGCCGUAAAUGAUGAUUUACUGCUGUUACCAUCAUCACUGCCUUCAGUGACCAAGGGCCUUCCAAGGUGCCAGCUCUGGAACGAAGGAUGCCCUUGGGAGGUGAUGACACUCAGGUUGAUGGACGGAUGGCUACAUGGAUGUGAUGGAGAUGGUUUACUAUCGGGACCUUCCGCAUCCUGCUGAUGUUUUGUUGCUUAGGAUAUGAAUGGCU
rnacentral:sRNA from 1 species